GAUGAACGCUGGCGGCGUGCCUAAUACAUGCCAGUCGAGCGAACGGACGAGAAGCUUGCUUCUCUGAUGUUAGCGGCGGACGGGUGAGUAACACGUGGAUAACCUACCUAUAAGACUGGGAUAACUUCGGGAAACCGGAGCUAAUACCGGAUAAUAUUUUGAACCGCAUGGUUCAAAAGUGAAAGACGGUCUUGCUGUCACUUAUAGAUGGAUCCGCGCUGCAUUAGCUAGUUGGUAAGGUAACGGCUUACCAAGGCAACGAUGCAUAGCCGACCUGAGAGGGUGAUCGGCCACACUGGAACUGAGACACGGUCCAGACUCCUACGGGAGGCAGCAGUAGUGAAUCUUCCGCAAUGGGCGAAAGCCUGACGGAGCAACGCCGCGUGAGUGAUGAAGGUCUUCGGAUCGUAAAACUCUGUUAUUAGGGAAGAACAUAUGUGUAAGUAACUGUGCACAUCUUGACGGUACCUAAUCAGAAAGCCACGGCUAACUACGUG
rnacentral:rRNA from 1 species